UACGUAGGGUGCAAGCGUUAAUCGGAAUUACUGGGCGUAAAGCGUGCGCAGGCGGUGAUGUAAGACAGGUGUGAAAUCCCCGGGCUUAACCUGGGAACUGCAUUUGUGACUGCAUCGCUGGAGUGCGGCAGAGGGGGAUGGAAUUCCGCGUGUAGCAGUGAAAUGCGUAGAUAUGCGGAGGAACACCGAUGGCGAAGGCAAUCCCCUGGGCCUGCACUGACGCUCAUGCACGAAAGCGUGGGGGGCAAACAGG
rnacentral:rRNA from 1 species